rnacentral:rRNA from 1 species
CCGGCGGACCGGCGGACGGGUGCGUAACGCGUAUGUAACCUACCUUGACAGGGGAUAACAUCGAGAAAUUGGUACUAAUACCCCCAUUAACAUCACCGGAGGCAUCUUCGGUGGUUGAAAACUCAGGUGGUCAGAGAUGGACAUGCGUUGUAUUAGCUAGUUGGUGAGGUAACGGCUCACCAAGGCGACGAUACAUAGGGGGACUGAGAGGUCCAACCCCCCACAUUGGUACUGAGACACGGACCAAACUCCUACGGAAGGCAGCAG